rnacentral:rRNA from 1 species
GACGAGGGGUCCUAGCGUUGUUCGGAAUCACUGGGCGUAAAGCGUAUGUAGGCGGCUUGGUAAGUCAGUUGUGAAAGCCCUGGGCUCAACCCAGGAAGUGCAUCUGAUACUGCUGAGCUUGAAUAUGGGAGAGGGUAGUAGAAUUCCUGGUGUAGUGGUGAAAUACGUAGAUAUCAGGAGGAAUACCGGUGGCGAAGGCGGCUACCUGGCCCAAUAUUGACGCUGAGAUACGAAAGCGUGGGGAUCAAACAGG